rnacentral:rRNA from 1 species
GAUGAACGCUGACGGAAUGCUUAACACAUGCAAGUCAACUGUGGCGGACGGGUGAGUAACGCGUAAGGAACUUGCCUCACAGUUAGGGACAACAUUUGGAAACGAAUGCUAAUACCUGAUCCUGUGAGAGAGCUUUGCGUCCCAUUAGCUAGUUGGAGAGGUAACGGCUCACCAAGGCGAUGAUGGGGAGCCGGCCUGAGAGGGUGAUCGGCCACAAGGGGACUGAGACACGGACCUUACUCCAACGGGAGGCAUGAGGGGGGAAUAGUGGACAAUGGACCAAAGUCUGAUCCAGCAAUUCUGUGUGCACGAUGAAGUUUUCGGAAGGUAAAGUGCUUUCAGUUGGGAAGCGGUACCAACAGAAGAAGUGACGGCUAAAUACGUGCCAGCAGCCGCGGUAAUUC